GUGCUUUGAAAACAUGAAGCUGCUCAGUCUGAGGGAAGAAUUUCAGUUCUUUGCAAUUAACUCUACUCUGGUAAUAAUUCUGCAAGGAGGUAUACACAUCUGUUUGCUUUUCCAUGGGAUGUACACUGUGGCAGGAUGAAAAUCAGAAGCAGAGUUAGUUUCCCUUCCAGGAACUCCCACAUCUAAUAUAAGAUCAUAAUCUUGGCACCUAGGCUGUUUGAAGGUGGCACAAAAACUAACAGAGAGGAAAAAAAAAACCAAAGCACAACAAACAACCCAGUGUAGAAAUUAAACUUCCCUUGACACACUUCAAAAUCGGCUUGUGUUCUUUUCUGUGCUUGUUCACUGUAGGUCUGUAGAGUCUGCCUAAGGAACUGAAUGUAUGUGGUUUAAUCGCAAAGUGCCAGAUGAAAAAAAUGUCUGUAUUCAACUGUUACAAGCCUUUUGUGGAGUGCAGCAGAGAGUCUCUAUUCCUUCUGGAUUAACGUCAAGGAAGUAACUGGAAAACACUAGAGUUGCUGACUGAUGAAGAACCCAAGCCCUCCAAGUAACAUCCCCUCUAACACUGCUGAACUCUGAGCUGUGCACCAUGCAAAAACAAAAACUCAGGGCAUUAUAAAGUGCUUAUUGCAGGUUAAGGUUGAGGAGAAGAAUGGAGGCGUAGUAAAAAGCAGGAAAGGUGGUGUGGCAAGGGACAUGGUUCUGCAAUCACUGCAAGAGUACUGAAUCUUCUAAGAGGUUUGAGAAUGGCAUAUGGACAUGAGAAAUGUGUUUGACAAAAUGCAACCUCAGCUGUGGGAUGGCAUAAUUUGAGCACCAGACGCUGCCUUUCCUUCAGAUUUGGAAAGCUGAAAUCUGUUCAGAUUUGGAAAGCUGAAAUCCAUCCACAUUUGUGCUCGAUUCCUUGCUGAACCUGAAGAUGUUGCUGGGCCGAAGAAUGUAAUUGCGUAGCUUCCAUUGUCAGCUGUCACACUGCAUAAGUCUUGGGACCGAUCUGAAGUUUUGUUUGACAUCAUGACUUUUAUAAGAAUCAAAACCCCCAAAUCCCUCAGAUGAAAUCCAUAUGGCUUUGUUCACAGGCUGAAAUAAAAUCAUGCUCACAGCCUUUACUGCAACUGAGGGAUAUUUGGUGGGAGUGGGUUUUUUGCUUAAUAAAAGCAUAACCUUCAAA